rnacentral:rRNA from 2 species
GGACUACUGGGGUAUCUAAUCCUGUUUGAUCCCCGCACUUUCGUGCCUCAGCGUCAGUUAUUGCUUGGCAAGCUGCCUUCGCUAUCGGUGUUCUUGACGAUAUCUAAGCAUUUCACCGCUACACCGUCAAUUCCGCCUGCCUCAUCAACACUCAAGCCCCGCAGUAUCAAUGGCACCUCGACAGUUGAGCUGCCGUAUUUCACCACUGACUUACAGGGCCGCCUACGCACCCUUUAAACCCAAUAAAUCCGGACAACGCUUGCCACCUACGUAUUACCGCGGCGGCUGGCAC